ensembl:lncRNA
CAAAAGAAAGGCAGUGAAGGAACUUAAAUGAAUUCCUUGAUACUUAUGAGGCCAAGGCCAUGAACAUCAAGAUACAUUCCUUUGCAGUACCCAAGAGCUGUCUAACUGGCUCCAGAAUAACAGAUCUUAGUUAACCACCACUUGUUCUGAAAUGUCAGCGGACACUGCCACGGAAAUGGAGAGACAUAUUUGUAACAAGAGUGAAAUCUGCUGUUACUUACAAGGCUAAUACUUUAAAUUCUCAUUCUGGUUUUCACUGGGGAAUCUUGAAGCUUUUUACAAGCAUUAGUGGAUUAAUUUUCACUCCACCCAAAGCAUGGAUACAUUUACGAAGCUGUGAUUCUACAAAUGGGAGAAACAGAAAUCUAUCCUCGCUCUGAAUUAUUCCUCAAAUGUCUGGCAAACAGGGAACAGGAUGCAACCUGACACUGCCAAGCUCUGAGCUCCAGCCCAGGCCCUUCCUCUUCCUGUAUGUUUGUGAAGAGGGCUGUGGUCACACUCCACAAGUCCAUCCUAACAUAGUAUUGUUCUUUUUAUGAUGGCCUGCAGCUGCUUUUUAAGGGAGGAAAAUGGAAGAUAGAAAAUAAGAAAGGUAAAAAAUAAGAAAGGUAGAAAAUAAGG